rfam:Monodelphis domestica chromosome 8, whole genome shotgun sequence.
CUCUGGCUUUUCCUCUCCAGUGACCUUAACUGCAAGCAAAGAUUUCUUCAUCUCCCACAUCCUCCUCUUACUUGAGCCCAAAUUUUGAAAACUGUGGCUUUCUUCAGUAAUGUUGCUUUUUCGUUGCUACUCCGGCGCUUUUGUCUUCCUUUUCCUUCCACCCUCCUUUUUAGCAGUCUCAUUUUAAAAUGCAGGAAGAGAGAGGAGACAGAAAAGAGAGAAGAGAGCUCAGAGCUCCAAGGGCAGAGCUGUUUUACAUACGGGUCAGACACGGCUAGAGGCCAAGGUCAAGUUGAAAGUUGCAGUCUAGCCAAUGUGAGAGCUGUCACUCAAACCUUGAAGACCCUGUCUGAUUUUUUCCAAAGGUAUCAUCCCUGA